GACGAACGCUGGCGGCGUGCCUAAUACAUGCAAGUCGCACGCAGUGGGGACUGGUGAGUAACACGUGGGUAACCUCCCAUCAGAGGGGAUAACACUUGGAAACAGUUGCUAAACCGAUCCUGAUGGAUGAACCCGCGGUACAUGAGCUCGUUGGUGAGGUAACGGCUCACCAAGGCCACGAUGCAUAGCCGACCUGAGAGGGUGAUCCGCCACACUGCGACAGAGACACGGCCCAGACUCCUACGGGAGGCAGCAGUAGGGAAUCUUCGGCAAUGGACGAAAGUCUGACCGAGCAACGCCGCGUGAGUGAAGAAGGUUUUCGGAUCGUAAAACUCUGUUGUUAGAGAAGCGGUAUCUAACCAGAAAGCCACGGCUAACUACGUGCCAGCAGCCGCGGUAAUAC
rnacentral:rRNA from 1 species